rnacentral:lncRNA from 1 species
AAUACUUUCACAAGUAUCACCCAAGUGAUACUUGUGUGUUUUUAACCAUUGGAUCUACUUUUUGAUUACUAAUAGCCUUUAGAUCAAACACUAUUCCACCUACCACCACCUACCACCACCUACCACCAUCAUCUCAACCUCACAUCUCUCCAUCCAAGAGCUAAAAACACACAAGUAUCACUUAGGUGAUACUUUUAUAAGUAUUCUAGCUCUACUCUAUAUAUAUAUAUAUAUAUAUAUAUAUAUAAUUUAUUCGGGUUUGGGAUCGGAUUCGGGUCGGGAAAAUACAAAAUUCAUAUCCGUAUUGAUAUUUAUCGGAUUUUUAUUUUAUAUACCCAUAACCAAAUUCAUAUCCGUUUAGCUCAAAUAAAUCUGUCCCGUUCGAAUCGAAUAUCUGUGCCCACUGACAUCCC